rnacentral:pre_miRNA from 8 species
CCGCAGACGGACAGACAGACAGUGCAGUCACCCAUAAAGUAGAAAGCACUACUAACAGCACUGGAGGGUGUAGUGUUUCCUACUUUAUGGAUGAGUGUACUGUGGGCUUCGGAGACCACGCCG